GUUCCUCCUGAUAUCUGCGCAUUCCACCGGCUAACUACGUGCCAGCAGCCGCGGUAAUACGUAGGGUGCAAGCGUUGUCCGGAAUUAUUGGGCGUAAAGAGCUCGUAGGCGGUUUGUCGCGUCUGCUGUGAAAACCCGAGGCUCAACCUCGGGCCUGCAGUGGGUACGGGCAGACUAGAGUGCGGUAGGGGAGAAUGGAAUUCCUGGUGUAGCGGUGGAAUGCGCAGAUAUCAGGAGGAAC
rnacentral:rRNA from 1 species